rnacentral:tRNA from 1 species
GCCUGGCUGGCUCAGUCAAUAGAGCAUGUGACUCUUGAUCUUAGGGUUGUGAGUUGGAACCUCACAUUGGGUG